GAUGGAAGUCUGAUUCUAGGGAGUUAAGAGGUGCCUGAGUGACGUAGAACUGUGGGUGGCGAGUGUGAUUUGCGUAUGAGCUUGGUGGAUGGAAGCAGAGUUGCUGAUGUGGGGACAAGGGUGAGGAUGAAUGGAAAGGGCGUCUUACCCUAAAGCGUAAAGGGAGGUGUUCAACCUGCAGGAGAAGGAGAGGAGAUGGUUAAGGUGAUAAAAUCUAGGAGGAGGCACACAACAUGGGAUCAAAAGUUUACUGUUAAUAUGGGAAAAGGGUUGGGGUCCUUCCUUUUUACAGACUGAGGGAGUCCAGGGAACCAGAUGAAGCAAUGAAGUUACUUUGAGAUGAAGGAAACAGGAGGUGAAGAAGAGAACAUUAAGUUUUUCAGUGAAGGAGGAGGCUCAGAAAGAAGUGGAUAGGUUAUUUGGGGAUCAGAGAAGAGUAAAAUAGAUUGAAAUUGCUGCCAUAUGGUGU
rnacentral:lncRNA from 10 species